rnacentral:misc_RNA from 1 species
UGAUCUCUUUUUUAGUUUAUAUUUGAUUAUAUUCUCAUUUAGUUCUACAUUGUUUGUGGUAAAACUAGAAAUGGUUAACUCUUACAUACAUUUUGUGUACUUCACAUCAUAUAAUUAUAUGUACAAUGUACAUGUGUAUAAUUAUGUAUGCAUUUUCAUUUUACUACCAUAUUCCAAGUAGAAGCCCAUGCAUGUAUACUGCUCUGGUUAAGUGUAUAUUUUGUAUAUUUAAUGAAAAUGUUACCAAGUAAAUCAUCACAUUUUGUGACAAUAUUGGCAAAAGUAACAAGACAUGUAUGGGCAAUUGUGACUUUUGUAAGUUUGUUGACUUUUUCUUCAAUUUUGUGACAUUCAUUGUUUUCCCAUUUGUUCUGUUAAUUUUACAGAUAAAAGUUUUAAAGUUGCUAGCAGUUAAUGACUUGUUUCUUUGUUGCAGUUUUGUAACUGAAUUACAUAUUGUUUCAAAGUGCCAUGAGUAUUAAAUAUGACUUGCAAACAG